GGCUGGGUGGCUGAAUUGGUAGAGCAUCAUUCUGUGCACUGAAAGGUUGCUGGUUCGAUUCCAGCUCAGGGCA
rnacentral:tRNA from 1 species